UACGAGGGGGGCGAGCGUUGUUCGGAAUUAUUGGGCGUAAAGGGUGCGUAGGCGGUUUGGUAAGUCUGAUGUGAAAUCUAUGGGCUCAACUCAUAGUCUGCAUCGGAAACUGCCGGGCUUGAGUGUGGGAGAGGUGAGUGGAGUUCCUGGUGUAGCGGUGAAAUGCGUAGAUAUCAGGAGGAACACCUGUGGCGAAAGCGGCUCACUGGACCAUAACUGACGCUGAUGCACGAAAGCUAGGGGAGCAAACAGG
rnacentral:rRNA from 1 species